GGGUGUGUAGCUCAGUGGUAGAGCGGCUGACUGCAGAUCAGCAGGUCCUCGGCAUACAUCGGACCGAGGCUCGAUUG
rfam:Perkinsus marinus ATCC 50983 gcontig_1104296419590, whole genome shotgun sequence.